AACUGUCAAGGUGAAAAGCGAAUACAUUUUGAACUGCGGCGUUGUCAUUGAAAAGCACUAUGCGAAAAGCAAUUGAGCAAUUUGCACAGCAAUUAGAGAUGCGACUCUUGUCGAUAGUAACGCAGUCGUAACGGCUGCAACUGUUUGCCCAUAACUAACUAAAACCGCUGACGCCACGCUAGUAAAAAUCGUCUAGACAGGAGAUUUAGUGUUAUGUUGCGACUAAUCUGGCUUGUUAUGAGUUUAUUUAUGACUGCGAAAUAUAUAUUGAUUUAUUCUUGCACCAAAAAUUCACACAUUGUUGGCGACCUUGAAAAAUGGCGCUAAUUGAACGCUAAUAAGAAGAAGCAGCAGCAGCGACAGCAUAUGAAAAGUGUGAGAGCGAGAUAGUUGUAAAGAGAGUGCGUUAUUUUUAUGAGAGAGCAUGCUAACCAAAUGUGCUGUUAUUUGUGAUGAUGUUAUGCGGAUGCCACCAACAGAGUUGGCUCAUUGGCUCAGAUUGGGUGUGAAUUAAGCGGCAGCAUUCAAUGGGAAACUGGAAAACCCGUUUGGUUAUGGUCAGUGAAAUGAAUGCUUGAAAGCAAAAAUUCAACACUCAAACGAGAUUAUCAUCGACAAUAGCCACAAGCGAACACACACACAUACGUAUACAUGUAAGCUUCGUUGACUUACAAUGCUGCAUAAUUGGGUCAAGAGAAGCAACAGCAAGUGAAAUACAAGAAAACAACGCAGACUUUUUAUCGCUUGCAUUGCAUUAAUCAUUAAUCGUCGCAUUGCAGAAGUGAAAGCAGAGUUUGUCGCCUAAGUCUUUCGAUUGAGUAAGUGUAAGUAUGAAUGCUUGUAUACUAACCGC